rnacentral:rRNA from 1 species
UGGGGAAUUUUGGACAAUGGGGCAACCCUGAUCCAGCAAUGCCGCGUGUGUGAAGAAGGCCUUCGGGUUGUAAAGCACUUUUGUCCGGAAAGAAAACGCCGUGGUUAAUACCCGUGGCGGAUGACGGUACCGGAAGAAUAAGCACCGGCUAACUACGUGCCAGCAGCCGCGGUAAUACGUAGGGUGCAAGCGUUAAUCGGAAUUACUGGGCGUAAAGCGUGCGCAGGCGGUCCGCUAAGACAGAUGUGAAAUCCCCGGGCUUAACCUGGGAACUGCAUUUGUGACUGGCGGGCUAGAGUAUGGCAGAGGGGGGUAGAAUUCCACGUGUAGCAGUGAAAUGCGUAGAGAUGUGGAGGAAUACCGAUGGCGAAGGCAGCCCCCUGGGCCAAUACUGACGCUCAUGCACGAAAGCGUGAGGAGCAAACAGGAUUAGAUACCCUGGUAGUCCACGCCCUAAACGAUGUNAACUAGUUGUCGGGUCUUCAUUGACUUGGUAACGUAGCUAACGCGUGAAGUUGACCGCCUGGGGGAGUACCGGUCGCAAAGAUUAAAACUCAAAGGAAUUGACGGGGUCAUAGCUG